AACGAACGCUGGCGGCAGGCCUAACACAUGCAAGUCGAGCGGACCUUUCGGGGUCAGCGGCGGACGGGUGGGUAACGCGUGGGAAUAUGCCCUUCUCUACGGAAUAGUCCUGGGAAACUGUGGGUAAUACCGUAUACGCCCUUUGGGGGAAAGAUUUAUCGGGUAAGUAUUAGCCCGCGUUGGAUUAGGUAGUUGGUGGGGUAAUGGCCUACCAAGCCGGCGAUCCAUAGCUGGUUUGAGAGGAUGAUCAACCACACUGGGACUGAGACACGGCGCAGACGCCUACGGGAGGCAGCAAUGGGGAAUCUUAGACAAUGGGGGCAACCCUGAUGUAGCCAUGGCGCGUGAGUCAUGAAGGCCUUAGGGUUGUAAAGCUCUGUAAGAUGGGAAGCUAAUGACGGUACCAGAAGAAGAAGCCACGGCUAACUCCGUG
rnacentral:rRNA from 1 species